rnacentral:rRNA from 1 species
CACGGGGGGAGCAAGCGUUGUUCGGAUUUAUUGGGCGUAAAGGGCGUCUAGGCGGUAUGGCAAGUUGAAUGUGAAAUCCCUUGGCUUAACCGAGGAAGUGCAUCCAAAACUGCCAAACUUGAGUAUGGUAGAAGUGAGCGGAAUUCUCAGUGUAGCGGUGGAAUGCGUAGAUAUUGAGAAGAACACCAGUGGCGAAGGCGGCUCACUAGAUCAAUACUGACGCUGAAGCGCGAAAGCCAGGGGAGCGAACGGGAUUAGAUACCCCCGUA